rnacentral:rRNA from 1 species
GGCCCUCAGACUGUACGAGAGGUUGGUGCCUUCGGGACUCUGAGACAGGUGCUGCAUGGCUGUCUUCCGCUCGUGUUGUGAAAUGUUGGGUUAAUUCCCGCCCCCAGCGCAACCCUUAUCCUUACUUGCCUGCGGGUAAUGCCGGGAACUUUCUGGAGACUGCCGGUGAUAAACCGGAGAAAGGGGGGGACAACACCAAGUCUUCUUGGCCCUUACAAGGAGGGCUACACACGUGCUACAAUGGGCGGUACACAGGGUUGCAAACCCUCGAGGUGGAGCUAAUCUCAAAUGGCCGGUCGUACUCCGGAUUGUAGUCUGCGACUCGACUCCAUUAAGUCAGAAUCGCUAGUAAUCGUGGAUCAUAAUGCCACGGUGACUACCUGCCCGGGUCUUGUACCCACCG